CUACAGAGACAUCGGGCUUUGUAAAUCAGCUUUUUAAGGCAACAUAACCAAAUGAGCCUUCUUUAUUUUUAUUAUUUCAAACCAUAUGGCAUAAUUAGCAAUAUAUUGCACUUGGUGAAAUCGCACCUUUCAUAUCAGGGAAAAACUUAAAAUGGAUAUGAAAAGUGAAGAAAGUGAUCAUAGGAGAAAACCAUUUCAGAUGACAAGAGCACCUCAAAGGCAGCAGCCUCAAGGAGCAGCCAUGGCCCCAGACUUGUCGCACGGAUGCAGAAAACUUAAUGGAGGAGGCUGAGGUCAGAAUGGGAAGAGUUUUUAAAAAAUAAAAAGGGGAGCUAAUAUGUGAGGAACUGAUUGCUGUGCAUUAUUUUCCACUGAACAGACCUUCUUUUAACUUCUAAUCUCAAGCACAUAGCAGCUGUUGUUUUCAUAUUAAAGAUCAGUAAGUGUUUGUUGAAUGAAUGUAUAAAUUCUUCCCCAAUCUCUGUUCCAUGUAAUAAGAACUAAGUUAGCAUUCAAUUAUAAAGAGGACUUAGAAAGUCUGCAGACAUUUUUGAUCAAAAAUCCUUUUAACUGUCUUCUUAUGGUUCCCGGUAACACCUAAGCCCAAAAAACUCAGGUCAUUUCUUGCCUGUACUGUUGCAAUAGCCUCAUAAUAACUAGUCUUCUCCUUUAUCAACCACAGUCGUCUCCGCUACACAAAGAAGAGAGGGUGCUAAUCUAAAGUGUAAAUUAUUUUAAAUCAGCACCCUUCUUGUAAUUUCCCAGUGGUUUUUCCUGUCAUAAGAAUAACAUGCAAAAUUCCUUGCUUGCAAAGCCAGGUAUGACCUUGCCCCGUCUACCUUACUGGCAUCGUCUCUCAUGACUCUUCCCCUUUUUCACUCUCCAUCUUGCCUUUUCCCAACCAUGCCUGCUAGUGAGCCUUAGCCCUUGUGUUUUCUCUGCCAGGGAUGCAUGACUGGCUUCUUUACUUUAUUCUGAUCUCUCUGCUCAAAUGUCAUCUUUUUAGAGAUAGCUUUCCUAAACAUCUUUAAAAGUACCCCAUGAACUGUGAAACACCUUUCCUGCUUUUUCUUCAUAGUACUUAUCACUUCCUGAUAUUAUGUUAGACAACAAGCAAAUAAGUAUAUGCUGUUCCCACUAAAAUAUAAGCUCCAUUUGAACAGGAGCCUUGAUUAUUCCUGAGUAUACCCCUAGUGCCCAGAACCUAGUAGGGCUUUAAUAAAUAUUAGAUUCAUUUGUUGAAUGAAAAAAUGAAUGAAUAAUUGAAUAAAGAUAUCCAGGUAGAGUGUCCGGGCAGCCCAACCUAUGUGAAGCCAGUACAAGAAUGUUUCUGUGACAUAGUGAGCGCAAUUAUUCCUCUAAAUGAUGAACUUGCAUGAGUACACAAGGAUAAAAUUAAGCACGUAGUUUAGAUUUCUGCAAGUCUCUUCCUCAGAUUGAGGAAAAACAAAGAAAUUGAGCUUAUUCUCACCUCAUUCUUACAUGAACUAAAUCCAGAAUAAAGCAUCAUUUAAAUACCAAGCACAUCCCUACCUCAGCCACUCAUGGAAUACUUUAUCUGUAAAGGGACAGAUAGAUAGUAAAUAUUUUUGGCUUUGGGGACCGUACAGUCUGUGUCGCCACUACUCAGCACUUCUGUUGAGGUGUGGAAUCAGCCCUAGACAACACAUAAACAAAUGGGUGUGGCUGUGUUCCAAUAAAAUGUUAUUUAUAAAACUAGGAAAUCAGCAGAUUUAGUCCACAGGCUGUAGUUUGCUGACCCUUGAAUUAGAGAGUCUUCCCCAAAUCCUCUUCCCAAGUUAUUGAAAGAAUGCCCAUAGGACCAUAGCUCCCUCACCUGGUUCUUUCAAGAAAUGAGACAAAUUCAGGGAUGGUUGGAGGGUGGAACGCCUACCUGUGACAUGACUAUUGAGCCUGAUUUCUUUCCUUUUAUCUCUUUAAAGUGAGUCAGGUCUUAACUUUAAACUGUCUCUAAAGUGGCAAUAACUGGGCCAUGUCAAAUACUCCCAAUGACAAAAUUUCUUCUUGGAGAAUGAAUGAGGGUUGCAUACAGUGGUGUGUUGGUAAAUGUUUAGCAACUGGCUCUCUUACUGAUUUCUGUAGUGUAAAUUCUCCCAUCCUGGCCAUCUGAAACUACCAAUAUGAUGUCACUUGAUGUAGAGUUGGGAAAAGACAGUCUCUUGAAUAAGUAUGAGCUGGUUCCAGCCCACUGCUGAACACAUAUUUAAAAGCUACAAUAGCUCUGCUCACUGCCAUUGCAGAGUCUGGAGGAAAGAGUAGCAGGCUUGAUAGGAGCAAUUGGCUGAAUAAUCUUUUGCAAUGCCAAUAAAUAAUGAAAAAGUAUAUAAAUAUAACGCUGUAUAGAAAGCUCUCAAGUUCAGUGUUUGGUUAAAAUACAUACUCAGUAAAUGGUAGCUAUUAUUGUCUUAGUUUAAGUUAUUGCAAGCAUUAAAAUUAAAUGUUUAGCUACAGACUCAAUCCAGUUUUAAUGUCAUUGUGUUAAUAAGGCCUCUUAACAUUGAAGCAACAAAGAUAAAGGAAUUUUUUUGUAGCUAUUCACGAUUCUGCCCAGCUCAAGGUAAAGAUAGCAACAAAAUACUCCAACCAGAAUAAAAGAAGUCUCCACUUGACUGCAGCUCUUCGCAACACUUCACAAGGGUCAAGCUGUGUUAGUUUCCUUCAGUGUUAAACAGAAUGCAUCUUAAGAGAAUAGUUCAAUUAUUGAUUGAAUAGUAGGUUCAAGUUGACUAUAAUCCCAACUAAUACACUCUAAGACCAGGGAUGGGCCGACAGAAGGGUAAAGUUUUCCACUCAAGUCUCGAGGCAAACACUCAGAUAGAAGUAGUAAUAUGGAUGCCUUCUAUUAUUUGGUCACAUACAAUACUGUUCCAGCCCAGUUGUGCAAAACUGGUGAAAUAAAAGGCAAAAAUAUUGACAACAGUUUGGGUAACUGGAUUCCAAAAUGGGCAUCCAUCUAAGAGAAAUUAAUGAAAAAAAAGCAUAUGGACCUUGAAAUACAUUAAUACACAGUUUAGGUUUAAACACUCAGUUUUUAUUAGAAAAGACUAACUUAUCCUGUUUUGAACACUACAAAAGUGCUUUCUGAACCAUUUACUCUCAAACCUCCUCCACCCAUUCCCCUCCAUCUAUAACGCUUUCUGCACAUCUGUAAAAGGUAUGACUUAGUGUUUGGUCUGUGAAAUAAGGUUAAAAAGGAAGCAUUUCUUUUUACAUUCUAGCUAAUGUUGAUAUUUUUCUCAUGCUUCUAUUAGCACAUAAUUCAGAUACAUUAGUUUUGAAGUUUUGAAUCUUCUCUGCUUCUUGAGGGCUCUCUGUUCUAGAUCAACAUGAUCUGUGGAACACCAGCCAAGUCCUGGGCAGAACCCUCCCCGUUGUCCAAAUAUUACUGAAUCAGUUGAGUUUUCUCUGUUGUCAAUGAAUUAUUCCACAUGUUUCUUUGGCUACAUUUUUUUUGGCUUUCUGUUCACAGUAAAUAUAGCCUUUGUUUUUAAAAACUUCUAUUAUGAAAAUUCCAAAUAUAUGCAAAUUAGAGAGAAUAGCAUAAUGAACCUCUAUGUGCUUAUCACACAUAUAGGUUCAACUAAUUAAAUUAUAUCAAUUUAUGGCCAAUCUGGUUUCAUUUAUAACAUCAUUCGCUCAUUCCUAACUCCCUGGAUUAUUUGAUUGACAUGUUUCUAAAGUUCCUUUUAAUCUGUAGGUUCCCCCUCUCAUUUAAUCUUUUGCAACUUAUUCAUUGAUGAAACUGGGUUAUUUGUCCUUUAUUGUUUCUCUCAUUCUGAAAUAUGCUGUAAUGUCAUUAACCAUAUUCUUCUUUCCUGUAUUUUCUGUAAGCUUUGAGCUAGGCAGAAAUAUUUUAAUCAGAUUCCUUUUUUUUUCUUUUAGCAAGAUUUCUUCAUAAAUAAUAUUGUAUGUGUUCAUGAAAAUAGAAAUAAAAAUAGAAAUAAAGAAGAAAUAACAGAAAA
rnacentral:lncRNA from 1 species